CGCAUCUGGCAUUUUAUGAAUUUUAUAUUAUGUUACCUUUUAAAGAAGUCAGACAUACUGAUUUAUAUGAUUUAGUUUCUAAUUGUUAACUCUGUUUGUUUAAAAUGGGUUGAUCUACUGGACAUCUGUUUUAGAAGAACGCUUUUUGUGAAGCUUUGGAGUUCGCCUGUCGUGUAGAUAGACGUUCAUCGGUUUUCUGCCAAGGAGCUUAGUCAAGAAUCUGCAAUAAAUUAUUGGCACGAUAGUUAGUAUAUGUUAUGGCGUGUGGAAAGUCGGAAUACCCGGAGAAAACCCACUUGCCGGCUUGUCGACGUAUGGCCAAAUUCACAUUCGUCCAGACAGCUUGAGAGGAUAAAACCACUGACAACUCCUAUGUUUGCCAAGCGCUGUUGGCGUUCUUUGGAUUUUCACAGCGCUGAAAAGGCAUGCUUCAUAAAAACACUGGGAACGCCUCAACAUUGAUGUGCAUUAAGGUACUUAACAAAGCAUGGGUGGAGUCAGGAAUUACCCAUGUAAGACAGCUUUGUUAAAGCAUACUUAGUCACAGGCCUACUGCAUGUGAUGUGUCCUGGAUAUAUCUCAGCUUGGUGAAGAUUUGCCCGGCCAAGGCUCCUACAGGGGUGGACAGCAUGUCCUCUACGACGCUGCAACCAUCGAGGUGCUUCGGACAGUUUCCAGC